rnacentral:rRNA from 1 species
UACGGAGGGGGCUAGCGUUGUUCGGAAUUACUGGGCGUAAAGCGCGCGUAGGCGGCUUUGUAAGUUAGAGGUGAAAGCCCGGGGCUCAACCCCGGAACUGCCUUUAAGACUGCAUCGCUUGAAUCCAGGAGAGGUGAGUGGAAUUCCGAGUGUAGAGGUGAAAUUCGUAGAUAUUCGCAAGAACACCAGUGGCGAAGGCGGCUCACUGGCCCGAUACUGACGCUGAGGCACGAAAGCGUGGGGAGCAAACAGG